UAGCCGAUUUUGCGAAAAUUUGCGGCUAAUUUUCCCUUCAAAGUGUUCCAAAAAAGUGAAAAAUUGAAAUUUCGAAAAACCCUCCCAGCGUUACCUGGGGAACACUGUUACCUAACGAAUGAACUUUGAUUUUUUGAUAUCAGAUGAUCCAGCACCAAGUUACGAGUAAUUCUACUUUUUUCCGAGACACGUCCGAAUAAUUGCUGCCAUUACCGUAUUUUUUAAUAUUUCUCCGUGAAAAUUUUAUACAAUAUUCUUCGAAUGUCAUACUUUAAUGUACUAUUGGUUUUAAUAAAGAGAUUUUAACUGUGUCGUUACAAAUAAUUCACAAAAACAUGCCUUAUUUU
rnacentral:misc_RNA from 1 species